UUUGUGCUUUUGUAUUGCCUGGGAGAGUUUGCUAAGGCCUUGUGAGAGAUUGAACUGGGCAUCUGAUGCCACCUGUGAAAAUCCCACUGGUAACAGCUAAAAAUUCGCCUCUGUGCUUCUGCUGGAAGCAAAACUCUUUUCCUAAGCUGUGGUGUGACUCUCACUGCUGUGGCUGCCAGAGAAGGAAAGCCUUUUAAUUGAAGUCUUACACCUGAAUGACUGUUAUCCCUGCAGGAAAGAAAAAAAAAAAACCAACAAACCCCCUCAUGGGACCAACAGAUAACUAAUGAGUCUGUCUGCUGAGAGGCAGCAAGAGAAGCAUGUCACCUUGUCUUGUUUGGUUUGGCAGAGCUGGAGCACUCGUAAGAGACGAAGCUGCUACAACUUGCCUCCCCAGCUCCCAGAGCCACACAGCCUCUGCUGCCAAAAGCGUUCUUCCACCGCAGCAUGCGCGGCAGGUGACAUAGGACUGGAAGAACUAAGGAUUAUGAAGAGGCCUGUGAUAUAGACCUUUCAGCUUGAAUUGAUAAGGGAGGAGGGUGCAGAACAAUCUAAAACUCUGCUCAAGAACAAGAUGCAGCCAACACUUUUCUUCAAAAGUUUGGAGGAGGCCCCUUCUUGUAGCUGCCAGCUCUGUACAGAAAACAGGGAGAAGCCAGAUCUGUGAUGGAUUCAUUCCAGGAUAGAACAGCAGAGCACACUAAAUCAUCUUCAUCCAACUAGUUAGCUGCAUUUAUUGAAUGUAAAUAUUUUAGGGUUAAUUUCUACAUAUACAUAUAGAAUGUAUUUGGUUAUCCACUGACCAUUUUAAAACUGUAAGGCAGAUCUUCAAGUAACAUAAGUUGCCUAAUUGUUCUGUAACAUCUGAAGAUAUGACUCAUUGUUUCUUAAGCCAUCAUCUAAAUAUAUAGGACAUUUUCUGUGAAAUUUGGGGCACUCAAUUCUGCCACCAGUGAAUUGAACUCUUCAGAGUUGCAUGGCUGUGAGUGUAGUUUCAGUAAUGCAAUUUUAUUACAAACAAAAAGUGCAAUCUUGUAAAUCAUAAUUUGUGUUGUUUUCUCAACAUCAUGUACCGUAUUUUUUCUUUAGAAAGUUUUAGUGACAAUCACAGAAUCAAGCUUUUUGUUCUAGGAGCCAGUCCAGUCUGCACAUGAUUAAAAAAAGUGAUAAAGUAGCAAUCCCUGGAGCAGAGGCCACAGGUCACACAUCUCUUUUAACACCCUGUUGUAGCUGAUCUUUCUUGCAUAGCUAAUUGCCUCUGGUAAAUCCAAAAAGCAACAGAAAAGAACAGGCUAACUUUGCAUGUUCCUGUCAGUAAAACAUCACAAAGAAAUGUUCCUAGCACUCCUGAAGUGCUCAGGAAAAUAACCUAGCAAGAUGUUUAACUGAAGUAUAAACCCCUUAGAGAACCUAAGCAGCAAAACCUCCCUAUACCUUUUAAUGUGUCUUUAAAUCAUGAACACUUUUU